rnacentral:misc_RNA from 1 species
GUAACAAGGUUUCCGUAGGUGAACCUGCGGAAGGAUCAUUACCGAGUGCUGGGCCCUCUGGGUCCAACCUCCCACCCGUGUCUAUUGUACCUUGUUGCUUCGGCGGGCCCGCCGUUUUCGAACGGCCGCCGGGGAGGCCUCGCGCCCCCGGGCCCGCGCCCGCCGAAGACCCCAACAUGAACGCUGUUCUGAAAGUAUGCAGUCUGAGUUUGAUUAUCAUAAUCAGUUAAAACUUUCAACAACGGAUCUCUUGGUUCCGGCAUCGAUGAAGAACGCAGCGAAAUGCGAUAAGUAAUGUGAAUUGCAGAAUUCAGUGAAUCAUCGAGUCUUUGAACGCACAUUGCGCCCCCUGGUAUUCCGGGGGGCAUGCCUGUCCGAGCGUCAUUGCUGCCCUCAAGCACGGCUUGUGUGUUGGGCCCCCGUCCCCGGUUCUCCCCGGGGACGGGCCCGAAAGGCAGCGGCGGCACCGCGUCCGAUCCUCGAGCGUAUGGGGCUUUGUCACCCGCUCUGUAGGCCCGGCCGGCGCCAGCCGACACCCCAACUUUAUUUUUCUAAGGUUGACCUCGGAUCAGGUAGGGAUACCCGCUGAACUUAAGCAUAUCAAUAA